rnacentral:rRNA from 1 species
UACAGAGGGGGCAAGCGUUAUUCGGAAUUAUUGGGCGUAAAGGGCGCGUAGGCGGCUUUGCAAGUGACGGGUGAAAUCCCUCGGCUUAACCGAGGAACUGCCUGUCAAACUGCAUGGCUUGAGACCGGGAGAGGUGAGUGGAAUUCCCAGUGUAGCGGUGAAAUGCGUAGAUAUUGGGAGGAACACCAGUGGCGAAGGCGGCUC